UGAUUUUCAGACACACUUCAGUCACAAGAUGAAUGCAGUCAGCUACAGCAUGACAUAGACAAGCUAUAGACAGUUGAGAGAGGAAGAAGUCAGUGGCACCCUCACCUCAGACAAGACAAAGCUAACAAUUGAUAAUGAAAGACACACUUCAGUCACAAGAUGAAUGCAGUCAGCUACAGCAUGACAUAGACAAGCUAUAGACAGUUGAGAGAGGAAGAAGUCAGUGGCACCCUCACCUCAGACAAGACAAAGCUAACAAUUGAUAAUGAAAGACCAGCAGCAGCAGCAGCAGCAGCAGCAGCAGCACACACAAGAGGUGUUUUCUGUAUGAUGAUGAUGAUGGAAAAAGCACAUCUCGAAAGGAUGUUAUAAGCAGGGCAACGUAAUGAAAUUCAGUGAAUGGACGUGUGUGCGUGGCUGCAAUCACUAUGAAAUUAAGUUGAAAAUAAGAAAUAUAUUACUUUACAGAAAGGAAUGCUUAGAGUGAAUGAAAUUACUGUAAUGAAUGAAUGGAAAUAAAGUUGUGAGUCAUUAAAUGAUUAGGAAAAGAAGCUGUGAAUAGGUGCAUUAUUGUUAUUACUGAAAGGAAGAAUAUUUGUAGGAUAUGUCAUGUAUAUUAUCAAAGUGUUUUCAUUCUUACUUUCUUCUUUCUCUUUCAUCUUUUCUUAGUAUAUUUAAGUGAAUUUCUCUCUCUCUCUCUCUCUCUCUCUCUCUCUCUCUCUCUCUCUCUCUCUCUCUCUCUCUCUCUCUCUCUCUCUCUCUCUCUCUCUC